rnacentral:tRNA from 1 species
UGAGACACUAGUAAAGCAAGCUAUUACACAGCUUUGUCAAGGCUGAGUCGCGAGUUAGACCCUCGCGUGUCUCG